UUGCUCCAACGUCUAUUUUACUGGCUUCCUUUUCGUUCAUUCUCCUAGAUCGUCUCCGCGCUGCCCUGCCGAGGUUCCGAGGCAGUGAAAUGAUCUUCAUCACGGGUUCCUUCUUGGAAAAUCAGGUUUCUCAAGAUUUGCAUGAUUUCUUCAGGAGAAAUAAUGGGUUUAGGGUUUGAUCAAGAGUGGGAUGCUUUCUUGAAAUGAUCGGAUUCUCUGUGUGGUUGUUCUGAAGCCACAGAUCACACCCUUUUCAUAGCGCGGAACCCUUUUCUUUAAGACUUGACCUGGGAUGCCUUCCUCAAGUGAAUGCUCGUAGUGUGAGAAGGAAGGCAGGAUUUCAAUUUAUGUGUGAUAAGGUCUGCAUACUUCUAUGAUUUUCAGGUCAACAAUAGCAUACAGGCAAGUCCUUGGCCGUGGAUUCUGCCCCAGGGAGCCGGUUCAACUCCCUCCUGAGAUAAGGCCAAGUCAAAAACAAAGGCGAUGCAAAGGCUUCCCCAAAUUUCAGAAGCAUUGCAGACAAAAGGGAAUUGAACGGAAAAUAUCUCGAGAUCCUUGACCCAUUCUUUGUGGGAUAUAUCAUCUUCAAGGAAUAGGAAAAGGCAUGGAUUGCAUCCAGUGGCAUACAAGCUUUUAGAUGCUACUCCUACUCCUACUCUUGUGGAACUACGAAGGUAUCGUUAACUUAUGACUCGUUAUAUAAAUAUAGAGGUUUAAUAAAUUGUUUCCCACAAAAUAGCUUUUCUUCUUUGAUAAAUAGCCUCUUUUUAGUUGAUUGAACUAGAAAGUAUGUUUUUGGUCUUGGUCACAAGCAGUUUCAAUAGGUGCUCUAGAUUAAUUUACCAUUGUAUAAACACAAAAGGAAGUAUCUUCCUGUAAAAUAAAUGGUUUGAGUGCAGUCUUCUUUUGGAAAACAACUUAGAACCUGCCUCCUCUGAAAGUUAUUUAUCAUCUACGUGGCCCUGGCUUCCUAGGCAUGUGUAUUGAGGUACACAGAGAUGUGGUUUGCAUGGCCAUCAAGAGAGAAGGUUUUCUUGAUAGGUUAAAUGAAGGUUUAGGGUCUUGUAGGGCUUUCUUUCUAGUUUCUACCUGUUUUAU